rnacentral:rRNA from 1 species
UACAGAGGUCCCGAGCGUUGUUCGGAUUCACUGGGCGUAAAGGGUGCGUAGGUGGUCGAGUAAGUCUGAUGUGAAAUCUCCGAGCUUAACUCGGAAAUGGCAUUGGAUACUAUUCGGCUAGAGGGUUUGAGGGGGGACUGGAAUACUUGGUGUAGCAGUGAAAUGCGUAGAUAUCAAGUGGAACACCAGUGGCGAAGGCGAGUCCCUGGAAAACUCCUGACACUGAGGCACGAAAGCUAGGGGAGCAAACAGG